rnacentral:rRNA from 1 species
UCCUACGGAAGGCAGCAGUGGGGAAUUUUGGACAAUGGGCGAAAGCCUGAUCCAGCCAUGCCGCGUGCAGGAUGAAGGCCUUCGGGUUGUAAACUGCUUUUGUACGGAACGAAAAGACUCUGGUUAAUACCUGGGGUCCAUGACGGUACCGUAAGAAUAAGCACCGGCUAACUACGUGCCAGCAGCCGCGGUAAUACGUAGGGUGCAAGCGUUAAUCGGAAUUACUGGGCGUAAAGCGUGCGCAGGCGGUUAUAUAAGACAGAUGUGAAAUCCCCGGGCUCAACCUGGGAACUGCAUUUGUGACUGUAUAGCUAGAGUACGGCAGAGGGGGAUGGAAUUCCGCGUGUAGCAGUGAAAUGCGUAGAUAUGCGGAGGAACACCGAUGGCGAAGGCAAUCCCCUGGGCCUGUACUGACGCUCAUGCACGAAAGCGUGGGGAGCAAACAGGAUUAGAUACCCUGGUAGUCCACGCCCUAAACGAUGUCAACUGGUUGUUGGGUCUUCACUGACUCAGUAACGAAGCUAACGCGUGAAGUUGACCGCCUGGGGAGUACGGCCGCAAGGUUAAAACUCAAAUGAAUUGACGGA